GACGAACGCUGGCGGCGUGCUUAACACAUGCAAGUCGAACGGAAAGGCCCUGCUUCUGUGGGGUGCUCGAGUGGCGAACGGGUGAGUAACACGUGAGUAACCUGCCCUUGACUUUGGGAUAACUUCAGGAAACUGGGGCUAAUACCGGAUAGGAGCUCCUGCUGCAUGGUGGGGGUUGGAAAGUUUCGGCGGUUGGGGAUGGACUCGCGGCUUAUCAGCUUGUUGGUGGGGUAGUGGCUUACCAAGGCUUUGACGGGUAGCCGGCCUGAGAGGGUGACCGGCCACAAUAGGACUGAGAUACGGACCAGACUCCUACGGGGGGCAGCAGUGGGGAAUAUUGCACAGUGGGCGGAAGCCUGAUGCAGCAGCGCCGCGUGCGGAAUGACGGCCUUCGGGUUGUAAACCGCUUACGCCUGUGACGAAGCGUGAGUGACGGUAAUGGGUAAAGAAGCACCGGCUAACUACGUG
rnacentral:rRNA from 1 species